rnacentral:lncRNA from 1 species
CGACACGGUCUCUCUAUCACGAUAUGACCGCUCUAUCGCGAUAUGACCGCCCUAUCGUGACUAUCGUGACAUGGUCUCUCUAUCGCGACAUGACCUCUCUAUCGCGAUAUGGUGUCGUUGUCCCCUCCCCUCCCCCGCAGAGGGCGGCACCGACCCCGCCCAGAACCCGGCGCUGGCGACGGCGCUGAGACACUGCCGGACACACAACGUCCCCAAAGUGACCGUCCUGGGGGCACUCAGGGUGAGUGACCACUGAGUGACCACUGACCAACUGACCACUGAGUGACCACUGACCCACCCUGAGUGA